rnacentral:rRNA from 1 species
GACGAACGCUGGCGGCGUGCUUAACACAUGCAAGUCGAACGGCAAGGCCCUGCUUUUGUGGGGUGCUCGAGUGGCGAACGGGUGAGUAACACGUGAGUAACCUGCCCUUGACUUUGGGAUAACUUCAGGAAACUGGGGCUAAUACCGGAUAGGAGCUCCUGCUGCAUUGUGGGGGUUGGAAAGUUGCGGCGGUUGGGGCUGGACUCGCGGCUUAUCAGCUUGUUGGUGGGGUAGUGGCUUACCAAGGCUUUGAAGGGUAGCCGGCCUGGGAGGGUGACCGGCCACAUUGGGACUAAGAGACGCACCAGACUCCUACGGGAGGCAGCAGUGGGGAAUAUUGCACAAUCGGCGGAAGCCUGAUGCAACAACGCCGCGUGCGGGAUGACGGCCUUCGGGUUGUAAACCGCUUUCGCCUGUGACGAAGCGUGAGUGACGGUACUGGGUAAAGAAGCACCGGCUAACUACGUG